UAACAGCAUAGAGCCCAGUGCGGGGCUCGAACUCAUGAACUUGAGAUCACGAAGUCAGACGCUCAACAGACUGAGCUCCCGGGCGUCCCUCAACUUCCUGUUUCUUAAAGAUGACAAAAUUUCCUGAGCGAUUUUAUUUUGAGCAGAUAGAGCCAAGAUAUAAAAGUGAGAGACGAAGGUGAAAGUGGCAAGGUGUCCGGCCCCGGGCAAGGAAGCGGUUUCCAGAAGGCAGGCACGGUCACCGGACACAGCUGAAGGGUGACAGAGACAUAAGUGCUCCUGGGUCUCCUGGCUGCUGAGCACACUCACUGGCCAGGGGCCUUCGGGUUGGGCUCCAGCCGAUGUGCCAGCGAGGCGAGUGCACGGGAGUGUGGGAGACACCGGAGCGGCGACACGGCCUCACCCCCCUCCUGGGAGGCCACCCAGGCCACCCACCUCCCCACCUCUCCUGAGUUGAAGCUGCUAAAUGGCACAGGCUCCUAGCAAGGGCAGAGACAGCAGAAAAUCUAGUGAAAUGGUUCAAAGUGGUUUUUCUGUUCAUGUUGAGGAAACAGUGGUCUGAGGCCACUUUUCUGCUUUUUCUUGGAAAAAAGCCCAGCAGCCUCGCUGAAAUUUCCCUGGAGCGGCCCCCUCCCGGAGGAGCGCGUCCGUGCGUGGGAAUGACGGGGACAGAGGGCUGAGCAGCAGGCCAGGGCCCUGAGGCUCGCGGCGCUGACCAGACUGUGGGGCCUGGCACCGGUCACUGGCGAGCUGUCUGUCGCCCCAGCUCUUCCAGGAACGGUCUGCUGCGUCAGCUCGGAGCACGUGGGGUUUAGCCAAGUCCACACCGCGGAGGGAAGCUCCGCCGGGGGAGUUCGGAGGCUGGGGACGGGAGUGUGGACAAGGAGAGACAGGCUCCUGCUGGGGGCGCAGGGACUGUCACGGCCUGGUGCAGGCAGCCGCAGGGAGGUGUGUGCGAGCAGGGGGUGAGGGGUGUUCUUACUCUUUGGAGCUUUUGCAGGGGGGAGGGGGGGAAGGGAGGGUGCGAAAGGAGGGAAGGAACAAGGGAGGGAAGGAAGGAAGGUGACAGAAUCGAGUCUCUCUGGUAGUUUAUCCAUAACGUCCAGGAACCGCUAGGCGUAAAGAACAAGACGAUGCGACCAAACUCGAGAGAAAACACAAGGGAACAAACUCAACGUGACCCAGAGGCAACCGGGGGGACGUUCCCCCGGCAGGUGUAAUACAGGGACAGGAGCAGACACUGCACAGGACUGGAGCAAGUGCCGAAAAUGAAAACCAGAGAAACUUCUGGAAAGAAAGAAUCAGUUGAGCCAGGGAAUAGUAUACACACGUAAAUGGAGCUCCCUAAGGAGGAGAGAGGGACAGGAGGGAACUUGCCCUAGACAGGGAGAAAGCACAGGCGGGUCACAUGCAGGAGAAGGAAAGGUACCCAGAAUCCACAAGGGCCACAAGCAACGUGGGAACACAGACCCCCAACACAGUGCGGGGAGGGCUCCCGGAGGAGGAGGAGCCUCCGAGCAGGUGCGCAACCCCGGGGGUCGGAGAGAGUGCCCUGAGGCCACCAUGCGACACCGACACGCAAUCGCCAGGCUGUGGGAGGGCGAGACGGUCGUCGCGAACGUGUGCACCGCUGUGCGGGUCGGGCACGAGAGUCACCACUUCCGCACAGAGACCGUCGCCACUGUGCGUGGCUACUCACACCCGGGGACACCGUGAUUCUGUCCCAGAAACAAACCAAGGAGGCCACCAUGUUCAAGGAAAAGACUAACAGGUGGUAGUUUUGCCCAAGGAUAAAAUCUCAGCUUUUCCGAUACGUCUGAUGAAGCGUGUUGACAUCCGUGAACUCCGAGAGCACCGUGUGGUCACAGGGUCACUUGUGCGUGAAAGAUCAGAGACCGACCACCGGGUUUGAAACAUGACACGGUACAACGCAUUCCAACAUCGCAACUAACUUCUGACGACUGCCACAGGGCAGGGCGCCCGGGCCCCCCGGCCCCCCCGCUUCAGCUCAGGUCAGAUCUCAUAGUUCGUGAGUCUGUGCCCCGCGUCGGGCUCUCUGGACUCCGCACAGAGCCUGUCAGAUCCUUGGCCCUCCCCCCACCUCUCAAAAACAAUUAAAAGUGAAAAAAGAUGAAUUAGCAUUGGCUGAGCUGUGGCAUCAAAGGAGGCCUGUGUGUGUCUGAAGAAGCCCCUUUCUUUCCUACCUACUGCCACGAGGCUCAACCUUCAGCUAAAAAAACCCCCUAUUUUACCAAGUGAAGUGCAAAAGCAGAAAGUGACUCUGUCCAGCUAAUUGGACAUUGAAGAGAUUUGGAAAAAUAUAAGGCAAUGCUACUUUUCACACUGAAUUUGUUUCCGAGAAUGUAUAAAAUAUAAAAAUUGCUUUAAUGAAAA